rnacentral:misc_RNA from 1 species
GUUUCGAUUGGUAUGACUUUGGACAGAGCACUUGACAAGUUUUGUUUACAAAUGUAAAGAUCAUGUUACGUAGAUACAUACUGUCACUUGGGUCAAGAGAAAUAGCGAAAUGUCAGAAACGAUUAAUGAGCUUGGAUGCAGUUGCACCGAUUGGGACUGCAAUCGAAAAAGAUGCAAAUUACAAGGAAAAUGCAGAGACGAUGCAGGUUCUUGUGGAUGACCUGAAAUCAAAAGUCACAAAAAUUAUGCAAGGUGGGGGUGAGGCAGCUCGGAAGAAGCACACUGACCGGGGAAAGAUGUUACCCAGGGACAGGAUCAACUCUCUGCUGGACCCACAGUCCCCGUUCCUGGAGCUGAGUCAGUUAGCGGGGUACCAGCUGUAUGGAGAGGAUGACGUCCCUGCGGGGGGCAUCAUCACCGGGAUAGGGCGGGUGUCAGGGGUUGAGUGUAUGAUUGUAGCCAAUGAUCCUACAGUCAAGGGUGGGUCCUACUAUCCUGUGACGGUCAAGAAACACUUGAGGGCCCAGGAAAUUGCCCAACAAAACCAUCUACCCUGUAUAUACUUAGUGGACUCUGGUGGUGCCAACCUGCCCCGCCAGGAAGAUGUGUUCCCGGACAGGGACCACUUUGGAAGAAUCUUCUUCAACCAAGCCAACAUGUCUGCCCUCAAAAUACCUCAGAUAGCAGUGGUGCUUGGAAGUUGUACGGCAGGAGGGGCCUAUGUACCAGCCAUGGCCGACGAAAGUAUCAGCCACUGACCUUGGAGGGGCUCAGUUACACUGCAGUAAGUCAGGCGUAACCGAUUACUUUGCUCAGGACGACAUUCACGCUCUUCAUUUGGCGAGGCGAUGUAUCAAGAACAUCAACUACUCCAAAGAUCCCAAGGUUACCUUGGAGACCCCAGAGGAACCAAUCCACCCUGCUGAAGAGUUGUAUGGAAUUGUGGGAGCUAAUCUAAAGAAAACCUUUGAUGUUAGAGAGGUGAUAGCUAGAAUUGUAGAUGGAAGUAAAUUUGAUGAAUUUAAAACCAUGUAUGGGGAAACUCUAGUCACAGGAUUUGCCAGACUAUGGGGGUAUCCUGUAGGAAUUCUGGGAAAUAACGGAGUAUUAUUUAGUGAAUCGGCAUUAAAGGGAACACAUUUUAUAGAACUUUGUUGCCAGAGAAACAUACCUCUUAUAUUUCUUCAAAACAUUACUGGUUUUAUGGUUGGUCGAGAUGCUGAGGCCGGGGGCAUUGCCAAAAACGGGGCCAAGAUGGUAACCGCUGUAGCGUGUGCCAAAGUUCCCAAAUUUACUGUGAUAAUCGGAGGUUCCUACGGAGCAGGGAAUUAUGGGAUGUGUGGCAGGGCCUACAGCCCAAGGUUUCUGUACAUGUGGCCAAAUGCCAGAAUAUCUGUGAUGGGAGGGGAACAGGCGGCCAGUGUUCUCGCUCAGAUCACGCGGGAACAGAGGAUCAAGGCCGGGAAAACGCUGACACCUGAUGAAGAGGAGGCCAUUAAGAUUCCCGUGAUUAAGAAGUAUGAGAAAGAGGGUCAUCCAUACUAUGCCAGUUCUAGGUUAUGGGAUGAUGGUGUGAUUGACCCAGCGGACACACGGACAGUACUUGGACUCAGUCUCAGCGCAUCACUCAAUGCCCCCCAACAACACACACAUUUUGGAGUGUUCAGGAUGUAGUGAACAACCUUAUUACAAUCUCCAAUCCCCCUCCCCAAACUAGAUAUCAUGAUGUUCAUAAAUAUUCAUUAUUUAUUCAUUAAUAUUCAGACGUAUUAUGAAUAUUUAUGACAUAUAUAUGAAUAUGUAUGACUUGUACAUGAAUAUUCAUAAGAGUGAACGCUAUUUAUCAUUCAUGCUAUGAACUAGUUCGAAUCUCCAUGAACUAGUAUGCAGCAUGCAUUUGUGUGAACAAUUAUAUAUACUUAUAUAGAUGUGUGUUUUAUGAAACAAGUGUUGAGCACAGAACGACAUCACUGGGAGUAAUAAUUUUGUGAAAAAUCGGACUAACAUGCAUAUCCUUAGUAAUGGUACAGUGGAUCAAUAUUCAAGAAGGAGGAAGAAAUAUUUCUCUCAUUGUGUCAUCAUGAAAUACAUGUCAUAAGUGACAGUUUAAGUAACACAAUCACGUC